rnacentral:snRNA from 14 species
UUGCCCACCUGGCAUCGGUUUCAGGGUGAUCAGCAAUGCUCUGACCCCAGGUGGAGGCUCGACAUCGCACUCCGGCAUAUUGCAGCCUGCGAUGGUCUCUAAUUGCAUUCGAUCAUGUGCGUAGUUUUUGCCAGUAGGAAACCCUCAGACAUCCCUCAUUUUCUUA